GACGAACGCUGGCGGCGUGCUUAACACAUGCAAGUCGAACGGAAAGGCCCCUUUGGGGGUCCUCGAGUGGCGAACGGGUGAGUAACACGUGAGUAACCUGCCCUUGACUUCGGGAUAACUUCAGGAAACCGGGGCUAAUACCGGAUAGGAAUCCUUGCUGCAUGGUGGGGGUUGGAAAGCUUCGGCGGUUUUGGAUGGACUCGCGGCUUAUCAGCUUGUUGGUGGGGUAGUGGCUUACCAAGGCUUUGACGGGUAGCCGGCCUGAGAGGGCGACCGGCCACAUUGGGACUGAGAUACGGCCCAGACUCCUACGGGAGGCAGCAGUGGGGAAUAUUGCACAAUGGGCGGAAGCCUGAUGCAGCAACGCCGCGUGCGGGAUGACGGCCUUCGGGUUGUAAACCGCUUUCAGCAGGGGCGAAGCUUGUGGUGACGGUACCUGCAGAAGAAGCACCGGCUAACUACGUG
rnacentral:rRNA from 1 species